UAUGUGUGCUUUAUAUGCCUUGCAGAGU
rnacentral:piRNA from 1 species